AAUGAACGCUGGCGGCGUGCCUAACACAUGCAAGUCGGACGAGAAAGCAGACUUCGGUCUGCAAGUAAAGUGGCAUACGGGUGAGUAACACGUGGGUAACCUGCCCGGAAGUGGGGGACAACUCUUCGAAAGGAGAGCUAAUACCGCAUAACAUCCCGAGUACUUCGGUUCACGGGAUCAAAGUUUGCCUCUGUUUCAUGCAAACGCUACCGGAGGGACCCGCGCCCCAUUAGCUUGAUGGUGAGGUAACGGCUCACCAUGGUUACGAUGGGUAGCCGGCCUGAGAGGGUGAUCGGCCACACUGGAACUGAGACACGGUCCAGACUCCUACGGGAGGCAGCAGUGAGGAAUUUUGCGCAAUGGGCGAAAGCCUGACGCAGCGACGCCGCGUGGAGGAAGAAGGCCUUCGGGUCGUAAACUCCUGUCAAGAGGGACGAAUCCCUACGGAAUGAAUAAGUCUGUAGGUUGACGGUACCUCUGAAGGAAGCCCCGGCUAACUCCGUGCCAGCAGCCGCGGUAAUACGGAGGGGGCAAGCGUUGUUCGGAAUUAUUGGGCGUAAAGGGCACGUAGGCGGUCAAGCAAGUUGGUGGUGAAAGCCCUCGGCUCAACCGAGGAAUUGCCCCCAAAACUGCUUGACUUGAGUCCCGGAGGGGGUGGCGGAAUUCCCAGUGUAGCGGUGAAAUGCGUAGAUAUUGGGAGGAACACCAGUGGCGAAGGCGGAUGGCUGGGCCGUUGUUGACGCUCAGGGACGAAAGCAUAGGUAGCGAACGGGAUUAGAUACCCCGGUAGUCCAUGCCCUAAACGAUGUGCACUAGGUCGCGGAGGGUUUGACCCCAUCGCGGCUGAAGUUAAAAUAUUAAGUGCACCGCCUGGGGAGUACGGUCGCAAGGCUAAAACUCAAAGGAAUUGACGGGGGCUCACACAAGCGGUGGAGCAUGUGGCUUAAUUCGAAGCAACGCGAAGAACCUUAUCCAGGGCUUGACAUGUAUGGAUUAUUGAUCCGAAAGGUGAUAAACGCUCUCUGAGUGGAACAUACACAGGUGCUGCAUGGCUGUCGUCAGCUCGUGCUGUGAAGUGUCGGGUUAAGUCCCCUAACGAGCGAAACCCCUAUCUCUAGUUGCCAUCAGUUCGGCUGGGCACUCUAGCGAGACUGCCGGUGUUAAACCGGAGGAAGGUGGGGAUGACGUCAAGUCCUCAUGGCCCUUAUGUCCAGGGCUACUCACGUGCUACAAUGGUCGGCACAGAGGGUCGCGAGCCCGCGAGGGGAAGCUAAUCCCAAAAAGCCGAUCUCAGUCCGGAUUGGAGUCUGCAAUUUGACUCCAUGAAGGAGGAGUCGCUAGUAAUCGCGGAUCAGCAUGCCGCGGUGAAUACGUUCCCGGGCCUUGUACACACCGCCCGUCACACCACGAAAGCUACUUGAACCAGAAGUCCGUGACCUGACCGCAAGGAAGGAGCGGCCCAAGGUUUGGGCGGUGAUUGGGGUG
rnacentral:rRNA from 1 species